AGCCAUUUUCCCUGGCUUUCUAGUUCUCUUCUGUCCUGGAGUGACAGGACCUGACAGAAUAUUCAGGGCUGGUAAUGAAAACCUGAGACUGGACUUCAGGCUUUGUUAGGCAUUGAGUUGGGCAGGAGGUUCAGCAGUGGGCAGGCCCGUGAAGAGGAGAAAUCUGAAGUUCAGGGGUAAAGCCAAAGUGGAAAUUCAAGGAUCACCAAUGAUAAGGAAAUGAAAAAGGACAAGAAAGGUAAGAAGACACAUCAGCACAUAAACCUCAGUUACCAGCACUUGAAGAGAAUCCCAGAUGUUUUAAAGAAAAAUGCCUGUUAUUUCAAGUAUGCUGCUUGUGGAGUUUUCAAGACAUCUACAGAGCACUGGUGCAUAGGAUGCUGGAGCAAUGAGGGUUCUUCAAGUGACUUGGUCAGACUCCCCUGAUUUUGCAAGUGAUAAAAUUGAGGCCCA